UCCCUGGUAGCUUAGCUGGUAAAGUAUCCACCUGCAAUGUGGAAGACCUCAGAUUGAUUCCUGGGUCGGGAA
rnacentral:tRNA from 1 species